rnacentral:lncRNA from 1 species
GCCAUGCAGAAGCAUGAGUUGAUUAAACCUCUUUCCUUUAUAAAUUACCCAGUCUCAAGUAUUUCCUUAUAGCAAUGUGAAAAUGAACUAAUACAGCCUUGAUCACCACUGCACUCCAGCCUGGGUCACAGAGCAACACUUUGUCUCAAAAAACAAAACAACAAGAACAACAAAAACACGGAGGCUAUUUCUCCACCUCUUGACUCUGUGUUUGGCCAUAUGACUUGCUUUGACCAAUGGGAUGUCACAGACAUGAUACAAUCAGAGGUCUACACACAGAUAACCACAACUCCUCUGUCAGUUCCCAAGACUGCACAGAACAUAGAGCCCCAGCACCUUGUUUUGGUCCUCCCUGAGUUUCUACACACCUGGCUUCUCAACGAAAGAGGAUCCAUUUGCAUACGAA